rnacentral:tRNA from 1 species
GCUUGGGUGGCUCAGUCAGUUGGGCAUCCGACUUUGGCUCAGGUCAUGAUCUCAUGGUCUGUGAGUUCGAGCCCCACCUCGGGCU